UCCAUUCCUGUCUGAGGCAUGUUUAUGCAAUCACCUUAUUGCAUAAAUAUUUGUAUUUCCCAGAUGAAGUGAGUUAUAUCCUUAAUGUAACACUAGUGUUACAUUACAUCUUAGUAAUCUAUAUCAUAAAUGAAGAACUUUUAGAAAGUUUUACUUUUCAAAGUAAGGUCUAUACAGCCACUUUAAGCAGUGACUUAAGCAGAUAGUUUGGCCCAAUGGCGAGAAAGUACUACAGGAAUUUCUGGUUCGAAACCCGGCUCAAGCAAGUCUUUAAACAUUAUUCAGAAGAAAGAUUGCUUCAGCUGUCUCAAGUGCUUAAGCUACUUUCAGUAAUUCUUCAGCAAUACAUUUAGCAUGGAAGCAUUCACUGUGCAUUUUCUAUGGAAAUGCUUUAUCUAGUUAUUAUUUUAGUUCUUCCGUACGUUUAUCCGCACCUAACUACUCCUGCAUCCUUUGAGCUACAAAAAACAUUCCAAUAUCAAAAUGUUCAGCUUUUUAAGUGUGCUAUUAUUUUUCUCAUUCAUAAGUUUCAUAUUUUUCAAGUUAUUAAACUUUUUUCAACUUUUUUUCCCCAUUGAAAUGAAUGGAAGAGGGAUUUCAAAUCCUCUUCAACUUUGUCUACUUUCAGCUUUAACUACUUCAACACACUUAAAGCUACAGACACCAUUUAAACUGCAAAACAAUCUUCAACUAUUCAACUAUUAAUGUCUUGUUUAGCUUCUCGAUAUCUUUAACAGAUUCUGAGUUAUAGCAGUUUAAGCAUAGGGUGUUUUUUUAGGAAUUCUCGGCUUUUCCAUUGGUGUGUAUUGCAUCUAGUUGAGUGGGAGAUUUCACAGCUAGAGCCUUGGGAUUCAUAAAGUGAAGUUAUUUUUGUGAUAAUCUUUAUGGUUUUGGUGUAACAAGCCUGUUAACCUGGUUUGGAAAUCAGCCUUACUCCAGCUCUUUGUGCUGAGCAGUGGAGGUUCCUGCCUGUGGAGCCCUUACAAGUCACACUCUCUAUGCUCAGUGAACUGAUGAGUUCAUUGCACUGUUGAUUCCCCAUAAGAGCAGUUGUAGACAUUAAGCUUUUUCAAACUAUCUGGUCUUUCAUAUAGUUAUGGGGCAGCAUUCAACAAGCAUUCAACAAUAUAUGCAUAUUUAUAGCACAAUGCAUUGUGGGUGAUGCACCAUGACAGAACGUGGUGUUAAUAGGAGUGACCAUUGCAAUAAAUAAUGGACAAUCUUUGGAUUAGGCUCUUCAUACUGACACAAGAGAGUAAUCUUUAAAUUUAAAUGCAAUAUUUUUUUUAAUUUGUUUUAUAUUUUAAUUAAAUUAUUUUUUAAUCACAGACUGAUGUUAUGCUUCGUCCUUCUGCUAAUAUAGCAGAAAAGCAUUAUUGCAAUAUUUUGUAUUAAACUAUGCACAUUUGACCCAGGGUAAACCUUAAUUUACUUUACUACAGCAACAUUGAAAAAAAAAAAACAAUAAUGUAAGAGUUCCUCUUGCCAGACAAGAAGCAAGCAAGGCCAACUAACUAUAUGUAUAGUUAAAUCCGAUACUUAUCUAUAGGUUAAAUCAUUCAUGUCUCAGUUGCUCAGAUUAGACAAAGAACAAUUGCAACUCUAGGUAAGCUCCCUUUGUAUAAAGCAAGCCACAUUUGUUUUUCACACAUCUAACAAACUUUCUUGUUGAUGGUAACUCCCACACGCAAUCCCCUCACUCCACACAAAAAAGAACAAAAACAAAAAGAACACAUUACAACCAUACAUGAACGAGAUGCUAAAUUAAUUUUACCAAAGUUAUAAAAUUUUCUGAAUCCUAACUUUAACUAUAAGAGUACAAACACAAGAAAGUUUGUUUUACCCAGAAGCCUUAGCGGCUUAGGGUGGGACUAACUGCUGUGAGCCACUACAAUAUGUUAAACUUGAAAUUGCAACGAUUGAUCGUCGUUGGUACCUAACUCCUCCUACAUGCUUUGAGCUACAGAAACCGUUCAAAUAUCAAAAUGUUCAGCUUUUCAAGGAGAAGUGUGCUAUUAGUUUUCUUAGUCAUAUGUUUUAUACUUUUGGAAAUAUGAAGCUUUUUCUUUUCCCAAUAAAACAAAGUAGAUUUUUACCAUUGACACUAGGAUGUGUAAUGUUGCCAUGUAAGAUGAUCUCAGUUGGUCCUUUGGCUCAGUGGAUAAAAGCCUUGACUCUAAAGCCUACCAUCUCAGGUUCAAAUCCCAUGUAGGUGAAUUUAUUUACAGAAACAUACACCUCGAAUGUAAAGCAUUAGAAGGAAAUAAUAAUGGCUUAAAUUCAAGCGUUUUUGUUUCCUUUGUGCACAUACAGCUCUUUAAAAAAAAAAAAAACUUUAGAUAUAUUUAUUUUUGCAUUCAACUUUUCAGCUAUUUCAAACUAUGUUUUCAAUGUUUCAGCUACUUUCAGCAAUUCUUCAGCAAAACAUUCAGUUUAGUAGUUUUUCAUAUAGUAUGUAUAGUGAUGCUUAGAGUUCUACUCUCAACAGUUACUGUGGCUCAGUGGUUGAGUGUUUGACUCCGACCUUGAAUACUCUGGUUCGAGUCGUUUUCGAGGCAGCACUAAAUUCACAAAGUCAUAUAUUUUGCAUGAAAAUAUUUGGAAAAAAGUUCUAUAGAUAUAUGCAGCUGUGCAUUAAAUUCCUCAGGAGCUUCCAGCUGUUCCAGUGCUUUAGGGCAAUCACAAGGUGUGAAACUAACUUAUUGCAACAUAAACCUUUAAUGUAAUGGUUGUAAAGCAGUAGAAGUAAAUAGUAUUUCUUUACCUUAAAUUCAACCAUUUUUGUUUCCUUGGUGCACAUACAGCUCUUCUUGAAAAACUAAUCUUUAGAUAUAUUAAUCUAUGCAUUGAACUUUUCAGCUAUUUCAAACUAUGUUUUCAAUGUUUCAGACAUGCAUUGUCAGCAGCUACUGUAGCUCAGUGGUUAAGUGUUUCACUCUUAUCUUUUAGACUCUGGUUCAAAUCCUGACUAAGGCAUCAGUGAAAUCAUAUGUUGUUCAUGAAAUUAUUAUUGUUAUUAAAUGUAAUGUAGCCAUGUAAUCUACUUGCAGUAGCUCCUUUGGCUCAGUGGAUAAGGUGCUUCACUCUGAAGCCUACAGUUCCAUGUUCAAGUCCCACUUAGGGCAACAUCAAGAUGUAAAACUUAAAUGUUUACUGAACAACACACCUCUAAUGUAAUGGUUGUAAAGUAGAAUAUAUGACUCUGACGCGUGCAGUCUCAGGUUCAACUCCCAAUUGAGGCAACUGCAAGAUGUGAAAGUAAGUUGGUUAAGUGCUUGACUCUGAUGUGGUAGAUGCUGGUUCAAGUCCAGCCUAAGGCAGCUGUGAAUUUGUAUGUAUUGCAUGAAUUGUAUUGACACUAGGAUGUGUAAUGUAGCCAUUUGCGAUGGAUGCAGUAGCUCCUUUGGCUCAGUGGAUGAGGUGCUUGACUCUGAAGCCGACAGUCCCAUGUUCAAGUCCCACUUAGGACAACAGCAAGAUGUAAAACUUAGUUGUUUACAGAAACACACACCUCUAAUGUAAUGGUUGUAAAGUAGUAGAAGUAAAUAGUAAUUGCUUAUAUUAAAUUUAUGUUUUUUGUGCACAAACAGCUCUUUUCAAAAAAACUAAUCGUUAGAUAUAUUUACUAUGAAUUCAACUUUUCUGCUAUUUCAAACAAUGUUUUUAAUGUUUCAGCUACUUUCAGCAAUCCUUCAGCAAAACAUUCAGUUUAGUAGUUUUUCAAAUCAAACUGCUUAGUUGUACUGUCAGCAGUUACUGUGGCAUUGAAUCUGACUUUGAAGACUCUGGUUCCUGACUAAGGCAGCGGGGAAAUCAUAUGUAUUACAUGAAAUAAUUAAGAAUAUAUGCAAAACAGUUUUUUAGAUAUAUGCAGCUAUGCAUUCAAUUCCUCAGCUGCUUCUAGCUGUUUUAAGUGCUUAAGCUACUUUCAGCAAUUCUUCAGGAAUACAUUCAGCAUGGAAGCAUUCACUGUGCAUUUUCCUAUGGAAAUGCUUUAUCUAGUGUUAGCAUUGAUAUUUUCUUUUUACGUCCUUUCUACAAUCGUUGGCACCUAACUCCUCCUACAUGCUUUGAGCUACAGAAACUGUUCAUAUAUCAAAGUGUUCAGCUUUUUGAGGAGAAGUGUGCCAUUAGUUUUCUUAGUCAUAACUUUUUUACUUUUGGAAAUAUUAAGCUUUUUCUUCUCGCUAUGAAAACAAACAGGAUUUCUACCAUUGACUGUAGGAUGUGUAAUGCCGCCAUGACAAAAAUGGAAGUAGCUCCUUUGGCUCAGUAGAUAAGGUACUUGACUUUUAAGACUGCAGUCUCAGGUUCAAUUCCCAAUUGGGGCAACUGCAAGAUGUGAAACUAAGUUGUUCACAACAUAAACCUCAAAUGUAAAGCUUGUGUAGUAAUAAAUAUUAGUUUUUUACCUUAAAUUUCACCAUUUUUUUCCUUUGUGCACAUACAGUUCUCCUUGAAAAACAAAUCGUUAGAUAUAUUUAUCUAUGAAUUCAGCUUUUUAGCUAUUUCAAAGUAUGUUUUCAAUGUUUCAGACACUUUCAGCAAUCCUUCAGCAAAACAUUAAGUUUAGUAGUUUUUCAAAUAGUAUGUAUAGUGCUGCUUAGACUUGUUUUGCCUGCAAUUACUGUGGCUCAGUGGUCAAGUGUUUGACUCUCCCUGUGAAGACUCUGGUUCAAGUCCUGACUAAGGCACCAGUGAAAUUAAAAACUUUGCUUGAAAUGAUGAAGAAUAUAUGCAAAACAGAUUUUUAGAUAUAUGCAGCUAUGCAUUAAAUUCCUCAGCCGCUUUCAGCUGUUUUCAGUGCUUAUGCUGCUUUCAGCAAUUCGGCAAUAUGUUUGGCAUGUUUAUGCAAUCACACAAUUAUAUAAAUAUUUGUAUUUCCCAGAUAAAGUGAGCUAUAUGCUUAAUGCUCAAAUUAGUUAUAUGCUCAAAUUCCUUUCAAAAUAAAAGCACCAAUCUAAAUCUUUAGCCUAAAUAUCACUUUUCUGCAUUUGACUAGUUAAUUAUGACUAGUUACUGAAACUAUUUUACUGUUCAGCAAUUACCUGCACACAUUUACUUCAAACCUUUAAAUUUUAACAAUUUAAAUUCAAAUAUUUGUUCUGAAUCAAAUUUCAGCUGUUGUAAAUAUUUUCAAAACGUUAAGCUACUUAUUCAGCUCCUGAAAAUCAAAACUAUUUACUUACAAUAUUUAGCUAUUUUGAUACAGUUGGCUGUAUUUCAACUAACGAAGCAAACCUUUACACACUUCCUUGAUUUUCAGCAGUUCUUUAAUUUCAGCAAGUUUCCUCCAUUUGAAACUGACUGUUGCAACUCUCAAGUCUUUGUUUAAUAAAAUAAACACGUGAAAAAGACAAAGGAGUUCUUUUCAUCUAGAGGACACUCUUCAGCCAAGUCAUGCUGCAGCUGUUAUGUCCAGUAGCUCAAUGGAUUAAGUCCUUGACUCUGGAGUGGGAGAUUCAAUACCUGCAUUUCCCAGAUAAAGUGAGUUUUAUCUGUAUUGCUGUAUUAGUAAUCAAUAUCAUAAAUGAAGAACUUUUAGAAAGUUUUAGUUUUUGAGGUAGGAUCUACACAGCCACUCUUAACAGAAAAUUAAGCAGACAGUUUGGCCCAGUGGCAAGACGGCAUGGCCCAUAAUGUUGGCGUUCAUGGUUCGAAACCUGUCUUGAAUCUUACUUCUUCAGAAGAAAGAUUUAAACCACUGUUGUCAUGAGUAUUUGACUCUGAUAUUGCAGACUCUGGUAAGGCAGUAGAAAAAUCACAAAAUUAUAUAUAUUGCAUGAAAGUAUUAUGCAUAUAUGCAAAACAGAUAUUUAGAUAUAUGCAGCUAUGCAUUCAAUUCCUCACUUCCUCCACUACUUCAAGGAGAAGUGUGCUAUUAGUUUUCUUAGUCAUAUCUUUUAUACUUUUGGAAAUAUGAAGCUUUUUCUUCUCUCUAUUAAAACAAACUAGAUUUUUUCCAUUGACGCUAGGAUGUGUAAUGUAGCCAUGUAAACCCAUCAGUAGCUACUUGGCUCAGUGGAUAAGGGCCUUAACUCUGAAGCAUAAAGUCUCAGGUUCAAAUCACAAGUAGGGCAACAGCAAGAUGUAAAACUCAGUUGUACAGUCGUAGCACUUCAAAGCGACCACCUUUUUUACCGCAGUACGUGCGCGUCGCCAGCGCGCCACGGGUGCGUCCCCGACUAAGGAUUUUUAAUCCUGCAGCCACCUGAAAAAAAUCAGGGUGCUAGUCUCGUGUUAACCACCAGUUGGCGCAAAGAUGGGAGGUCCAAUUGUUAAUUCCUAUCUGUGUCUGCACAUUAAGCACAAAAAACGAUGUCAUGGAAUUGUAUCAUUAAAUAUAGAGUAGUUCAUUUUUAAAUAUUAUAGAUUAUUAUGCGUCUUUGCUCGCUAGUGUGGGCUAGUGUUUGUUGUCAAUUGCCGAAGCUGCUGAUGUUUUUACAGUUUCCAGGCCGGCCGAGAGACACAGUCCCUCCUUCAGCCAAUCCAAUAGAAUAAUAUAAGUAUAAUAACAUAAAAUAGGAAUCUAUAUUUAUUCAUCAAUCUGUGUUAUAAAUGUAUUUUAUAUGUAUAUUUAUACUCGUCUUCUGGUUUGUUGAUCAUGAGGAAAAAAUAAAAAACAAACUUGGUUUUCGUUUCAGCUCGUAUUAUUAAUUAAGGGAAUUCAAGUGUUGUUUUUUUCGACACAACGCACGGAGUUGGAUUUAAAGCUGAUUUUUCGUUUUGAGAAAAAAGCAGACAACGAAAAACUAAUUCUAUAAUGACCUAUAGUUUGCUCUGAUUCUGAAUAAAACGUAAGAGCCUGAAUGACAGAUGAUGUGUCCAGGUAGAGCUUAACCGGAAAUGUAUGACAGUGAUGUGACGUUCCAACGAUGGUGCUGAGGAGCCGCUUAUUCAUAGGCAGAUGACUUGGAUCAAGUUGUCAAUACGCGCUAGUGUUUGUUGUCAGUUGCUGAUGUCGCUGCUGUCUUUAUACAGUAUGUCCUUGUGUUUAAGUGUCGGGUCCGUGUACGUUUUAACGGUUUGAUUUUCCCCUCCAGAAUAAAAGCUGGGAAGACGAGAAAACACGUUGUUGUAGAACAUUUUGAACCCGGAGGACCUGUUAAUGUGUGUGGACACGCUCCCAGUAAGUCCAGUAACUUCGUGUUGUAACGAGAAACCCCCAGCAUCUCGUUUAAAAAGGACAAACGGCAUUUAUUCAAAGCAGCGUGUUAAAAACGAAUAAACGAGCUGAAAACGGUGUUUUCAAAACCAGACACAUUAAUGGAUUUAAAGUCGUUUCCUUUUUUCUCGUUUUGGGGAAAAACGAAUCGACUGUGGCAUUGGAGCAUUUUGCCAGAAUGAGCUUUGCAGAGAAAGGACACUUGGUUUCCAAACCACGACCUAAUCAUCCCCUCAAACGCCACGUUUGGGGAAUGAUUUCUAGGUGGGCACCAGGACCGAUGAUUAUUUUCGAGGGGAUUAUGGAUAGACAGUUUUUCGAGGAGUCCAUAAUCAAACGCACAGUGGGUCCAUAUAUUAGAAAGUAUUUUGAAACACGACAUCGUUUUUUCCAGGACAAUGACCCCAAACUUGUCGCUGCAAGAGCCUGUCUGGAGGCGGAAUGAAUCAGCUGCGUGCGCACACCGGCAGAGUCCCCUGAUCUGAUCCCAGUUGGAAGCUGCAUUAUUAUACUUUACCGUAAUGACAUUUACCACAAUAUCUGCAGAAAAACAGUGUUUUAUUACACAGGCAAUACAGUGCAUUUGGAACUCGCUUCGCGCAAGUUACGGCGUCUGAUGCUGAUUCAGUUCCAAAAGCAAACUUCGAACCCCAUCCCCUACUACAUAUUGGCACAGAGACAUUAAAAUAUUGUCUCCACUCGGUCAAUAGGUGUAAAAUACCGAGACAAAGAAAAGCUCCAUGGGAGAUCGGGCGCGUGAUCACUGCACCUACGUAGCUGUGAGACGCCAAAACCUUUCACUGGACUUUUUUUAAAACGCUCUUCUUAUGGUAUUUCACGUCCCAGAGCAGGGACACUGGGGGAAGGGGAAACACACAUCAACACGCAGGACAAAGAUCUGCGUUUCUCUGCUGCUACAGCCUCGGCUGCGUUGGGUUGUUAGUCUCCCUUUCACCUGUACCAUAUGAAAUGUGUUCCUACGAAGUUGAUCAGCCGCUUUCACAAUCAGAAUCGUUUUUAUUCCCCAGGUUUGAACAGGGCAAACAUUAUUUUUAUUUACAAAAAAAAAAAUAAAAUGUUCACAUGUGAUUUGCCCGCUUUGAUGUAGACAAAACUCUUCAAAGCGUUUUACUUUACAUCCCGUUUGUUUCGUUAUUCCCACUUUUAUAUCUGUCUGAUAAAUAAAAGUGGGCGGGGCUAUCAGUCCCGUUGUAAAGGUAAGCGCUGACUGUGGGGGUGGGCGCAUCAACAUACAGGACAAAGACCUGUGAGAGAUUAUAUACCCCACUUUCGAUCAACUUUGUUUUUGACAGCUCUAGGUCAAAGGUCACUUGAUCUUUUCACCGUUGAACUUGCCAUGUUAGAGUGCACUUGAUCUUCAACCUCGAAUGUUAAAGUGCACUUGAACUUUAACACCGAAAGUCAAAGUGUACCUGUUCUUUGAACCCGAGAGUCAUAGGUCCGCUGAACUUUAAUCCACCGUGUUAAAGGGCGAUGUGAUCAUCGAACGCCAGUAUGUAUGCAGAUAUAUUAUAUAUAUGAGCCAGUGGUGCUUUCUGUGUAUCCUUCUUUAGACUGUGCUCUCUGUAUCACUGGGGUGUCGCAUUCCUCUGCGUGUGUAUCUGAGUUCACAGGCCUGCGGUGGCCUGGUAUCCUUCUACAGUCCUCCUUCCCCCGUCUGGAUUUAUGCGUCAAGUCGGCCCUGCGUUGUUUUAGAAAGAACAGGUUUUGAAACAAAUGCAUAUGCAGUAUUAGAGUGCACUGCUGGUGUACAACAGCAACAUCCGCCACAUGUAUGCAAUGAAGCACACACACACACACACACACACACGCGGUGUAAUAGGGGAAAAAAUCAUUCUCACCCCCUUAAGGUUCGGUCGCACAUUAAGCGCCGACAUUUAAUGUUGUGUUUGACCGACCAAUUGUUUAUGGUCCGCGUCUGCCUUUUACCCCCGGUCUCUGGCUAUUUCCUAUAUGAUCCCUCAACAGACUCAAAGUCAUAAACCUGAUUAGGCCUCAAGUGGGCCUGCGUUGUUUUAGAAAGUACAGAUUUUGAAACAAAUGCAUAUGCAGUAUUAGAGUGCGCUGCUGGUGUACAACAGCAACAUCUGCAACUUGCAAAGCAUAUACCCUUACAUCGAUGAUAGUCCUCUGUGCUGUUGGUCAGAGGAGUCCUCUCGGUCUGCAGUCAUACGGCAUUUUCGGCACACACACACACACACACACACACACACACACACACACACACACACACACACACACAAACGCACGCACGUGCGCACACACACACACACACACACACACACACACACACACACACACACACACACACACACACACACACACGCUGUAAUAGAGGGAAAGAGAUCAUUCAACUUAACUCAACAAACAACCUCUCACCCCCCUUAAGAUUCUGUCGCCCCUUAAGCGCCGACAUUUAAUGUUGUGUUUGACUGACCAAUUAUUUAUGGUCCGCAUCUGCUUUUUACCCUAUCUGAUCCCACAACCCCUAAAGUCAUAAAGCUAAUGCAUCACGUCUUUGAAACUCGGUGCCACAUCCCUUCUGACAGCAUGGCACCCUCACAUGUAGGAGUGAGAAUGUAAACAUCUUCACCCCCGGUGCAAUAAGACAAUUCCACCAGGCGCCGGGAGAACGGUUAAAAAACACAGCGCUAUAAUACUGAUCGAAACAUGAUUAUACAAAAAUACCGCUUUAACCCGUUACACCGCAGGAGUGUUCGGGGGAGCCCUCCUUGGAAAUAUUCCCCUUAAGAUUCUGACGCCCAUUAAGCGCCGACAUUUAAUGUUGUGUUUGACUGACCAAUUAUUUAUGGUCCGCAUCUGCUUUUUACCCUAUCUGAUCCCACAACCCCUAAAGUCAUAAAGCUAAUGCAUCACGUCUUUGAAACUCGAUGCCCCAUCCCUUCUGACAGCAUGGCUCCCUCGCAUGUAGGAGUGAGAAUGUAAACAUCUUCACCCCCGGUGCAAUAAGGCGAUUCCACCAGGCGCCGGGAGAACAGUUAAAAAACACAGCGUUAUAAUACCGAUCGAAACAUGAUAAUACAAAAAUACCGCUUUAACCCGUUACACCGCAGGAGUGUUCGGGGGGAGCCCUCCUUGGAAAUAUUAUGUUGUAACACUAUGUUGAUUUGUUAUGCGAAACAAGAGGUGUGAGGGUGUCCCCAGGGGCUGUUGUAAAACCAUUUGAUCAGUUUCUGGGUGACUUUUACGGAGAAACCUGGUAUAAAUAUAGGCGGAGUUGAAGCGUCAGAAUCGAACCCAGGCCUUCACGCUAGAUCCUCGUCGGACGUUGAAGCAGCGGUAUGAUUCGAGGUAAAGCUCCGAAGACUCUCAUUUCUUUGAUUCUCCUGAAAAUAUGCGCUAACAAAUUUCGUCCGCGUCAGCUCCUGCAUCUCAAGCCACAGCGUCGCCAGAGCCAACAAUUCCAACUGCAGUAUAGGCACCAGGCGGCUCAACAAGCAUUCAACGCCUUCCCAACCGGAGAGGCCCUUAGAUUCGUCGACGCUGAGAUCCAUCAGCCGCCACGGACCGAUCACAGUCUCGACGUAUUAGACGACGCUCUUCUGGAGGUGUCACCGGACCCCGGAGAGAUAUUUACUGCCGGCGAGUGCGUCGUCAAUGCGCCGCCAUCCACCGCGGAGCCGCCGCAGCAACCGCAAGAACAAAAAGAACAACAACAACAAGAACCGCGGAGCCCUGAAGAGGAGUGUCUAAUCGGCGAGCUGGAGCACGUGCUGUCCAGACAGCCGAGCGUGGAGCCUUCAACUUCCGAGAGCGGGGCCCCUGUGCUUCUAGCUGAGCAGCGCGUCCUGGAACAGGCGAGGCGAACCCCCGUGCGUCGUCCGGGGACUCCUCUUCCAAGGGGUCGUUCCGGUAAGUUUCUUUCUUUUUUUUUUUUUAAAGAGGGUUGUUUCUAUGGCCUGU